rnacentral:sRNA from 1 species
UCAUUAGAGAGGGCGCGCACGCGCGUCGUAA